GCUGAGCUCCUGAGCACUCAAGGCAGCGUAGAGAAGUUCUGCAAGGCCCUGCUAGAGAUUCAGAUGGUCCAGGCACAGUUCUUGGGACUUGUGGACUCACUGCAAGAGGAGGCAGCUGACAGGACCCCGGGGACCAGGACAUGCACUCCCGCGCGGCAGGCACUGCACAGCUUGGGGGCCUCCUUUGUAGACAGCGUCUUGCGUGCUGUGGCGGAGAGAGAUCUGGAGAGUCCCAGCAUUGGCAGCGAGACCAGCGCGUUCACGAAAACCACCACAAUUGCUGUAC